GCCCUGUAAAAAGGAAUCAGGCAAGACUGAAAAACAAAACAGAACCAGUUCCCAGAGCAAACUGAUUUAUAUGGUCAUUUGAAAAGAGGAAGGAAGGAUGAUUGCCAUUUCCAAGUGUCAGGAUCCUGGUACAGUUUCGUGAGAGAGCUGGGACCUGGAAAACUGAAGGACUGCCCCCAGCCCUUUGAGGAAGACAGCUGUCCUGAUUCAUAAUGGAUGAGGAGGCCUAGCCUUGCCUACUGUGAGCCAAGAGCAGGCAGACAAACAGUUUCUCAUUGUGAGCUGGCUCAUCUUGCCCUCGAGACUUGCCUGAAAACUUGUUGGAUGUUGAGCCCUGAACAAACUCCUGUCUGCUGCCAUAUGCUGAGUCACGGUUCCUGUGACUCCUCACUGACUCCCGCUGCCUUCUAGGCGGACGGGCCUGACCCGGACUGAGAGGAAGCAGCGGCCGGCCAGACAUCCACACCUCCAGGCAGAGUCACUUCUGAGAUGCCGUCUUCCGUCCUCGGGGAGAAAACGAGUCAUCCAUCGGCCAGCCGGGUCGGGAGAGAGGCGUCGGACGGGGGUCGGCUGACAUCACGCCUGAUCUUUCCUGCCGAGUUUGAGGGAAGGUCACGCUUAAGCUUGACUUUUGAGGGAAAAGGAGGUGAUGUCAUCGAUGAGCUUUCUCUGCUUGAGGGUCAGGGGAUGAGGUCACUUCUGGGUUUGUCUUCAGGAGAAGAGUGAGAUCAUGCUGCUUUUCCCCAUAUUUCGGGUCGAGGAGUGAGGGGAGAGGGUACACUGGACUGGGAUGUGCCUUAUUUAAGAGGCCGGGGCGGUUGGGAAGCGCUCUCUGCCUUCAUACAGAAGGGCAGGCUUCUCUCUGGGAAGGUGCCUGAGGGACCACACCCUCCCGGGGCAGCAUAGGGCUUGGCGAGUCUGCUCUUCUGCUCAGGACACCAAAGUCAGCACGAUGGUUUUCAUGGACUCCUUCCUCCAUUA